rnacentral:rRNA from 1 species
GACGAACGCUGGCGGCGUGCCUAAUACAUGCAAGUCGAACGCUUCUUUCCUCCCGAGUGCUUGCACUCAAUUGGAAAGAGGAGUGGCGGACGGGUGAGUAACACGUGGGUAACCUACCCAUCAGAGGGGGAUAACACUUGGAAACAGGUGCUAAUACCGCAUAACAGUUUAUGCCGCAUGGCAUAAGAGUGCAAGGCGCUUUCGGGUGUCGCUGAUGGAUGGACCCGCGGUGCAUUAGCUAGUUGGUGAGGUAACGGCUCACCAAGGCCACGAUGCAUAGCCGACCUGAGAGGGUGAUCGGCCACACUGGGACUGAGACACGGCCCAGACUCCUACGGGAGGCAGCAGUAGGGAAUCUUCGGCAAUGGACGAAAGUCUGACCGAGCAACGCCGCGUGAGUGAAGAAGGUUUUCGGAUCGUAAAACUCUGUUGUUAGAGAAGAACAAGGACGUUAGUAACUGAACGUCCCCUGACGGUAUCUAACCAGAAAGCCACGGCUAACUACGUG